CGGGUGAGUAACGCGUAGGCAACCUGCCCCAUACAGAGGGAUAGCCUCGGGAAACCGGGAUUAAAACCUCAUAACGCGAAAGGUUCACAUGGACUUUUCGCCAAAGAUUUAUCGGUAUGGGAUGGGCCUGCGUCUGAUUAGCUAGUUGGUGAGGUAACGGCUCACCAAGGCAACGAUCAGUAGCCGACCUGAGAGGGUAAUCGGCCACAUUGGAACUGAGACACGGUCCAAACUCCUACGGGAGGCAGCAGUGGGGAAUAUUGCACAAUGGGCGAAAGCCUGAUGCAGCAACGCCGCGUGAGCGAUGAAGGCCUUUGGGUCGUAAAGCUCUGUCCUUGGGGAAGAAAAAAAUGACGGUACCCUUGGAGGAAGCCCCGGCUAACUACGUGCCAGCAGCCGCGGUAAUACGUAGGGGGCAAGCGUUAUCCGGAAUUAUUGGGCGUAAAGAGUGCGUAGGUGGUUUUGUAAGCGCGAGGUGAAAGGCAAUAGCUCAACUAUUGUAAGCCUUGCGAACUGCAAGACUUGAGUGCAGGAGAGGAAAGUGGAAUUCCUAGUGUAGCGGUGAAAUGCGUAGAUAUUAGGAGGAACACCAGUGGCGAAGGCGACUUUCUGGACUGUAACUGACACUGAGGCACGAAAGCGUGGGGAGCAAACAGGAUUAGAUACCCUGGUAGUCCACGCCGUAAACGAUGAGCACUAGGUGUCGGGGCCGCAAGGUUUCGGUGCCGCAGUUAACGCAUUAA
rnacentral:rRNA from 1 species